GCCGUGGGCCUGUCCUUUGUACUCUGCUGAGCAGAGAGCAUGAGGAAAUGUGCUCCAAGAGAAGGAUCCCAGGAAUUGGCCGCCAGUGCAACAACACAACACUUUUCCACUGCAACUGCUCCUGCUUACCUGGUAACUUGAAGCAAACAGAAAUGCUAAAAGAGAGGACAAUGACCUAAGGAGUGGGGGGUCUCCCCAUCAGUCACACAAGGGGAAGGAAGCUCUUCUGGAGACUGCAAAGGAAAACACCAUGGAAAAAGACUGUAGAAGAAUUAAACUCUCACAGGGUUUUCCAGGCUCUACCCUUUCUUCCCUUCUGAACAUUCAUCCUCCUGGGUCACUGCAGGCUCAAGAGGAAACUGCAUAGCUCUUGCUUAAGAUGGGGGACUGGAGAAGCAUGUGGUUGGUCAUUGCAAGACUGCCAAGAGACCAUGAUAAUGGCACCAGGAUUUUCCUUGAAACCAACAAAAGGAGAUAAGAAAUGGCCAACACCCACAAAAAGAUAAUAUCCCUUCAAUGAUGUAAAUAAUAGAUUUACUUUUUAAAAUAUUUGCUGCUGGAAUACACCUUUACAAAGUGGGUGCCUGCUUAACAAUGUCUCCCUGCCCCUGCUCUAUAUGCUUCACUGCUUCAUUUAUGAAGAAUUGACAUUUAUGACAUAAAUAUUU